UUUGGGGUACAUGAGCAGAGCUGCUAUUUCACUUUUUUAAGGGAAGAAAAUAAAGUUUGAAAAAGUUUCCACUCGGAGUUCCACCCAGUAAUCAAUGGUGAGGUGUGAAACCUGGGCUUCCCGACGUGCUAUGCGGUGCUCUCCAUUUUAAUACGGCUGCCUGAGGAACCAGCUGGCUGGAAGAGUGGCUGUGGGCGGUUCACGGCCAGACUGCGAUGGUGGCGAGGCACGGUGACUGGGACGCG
rnacentral:lncRNA from 1 species